ensembl:lncRNA
UAUUUUCACAUGUUAAAUGAUCUUUAUAUAUGUUGAAUUAACAAAUAUUUUGAGUUUCUUGAGGGGGGAAAAAGCAUAUUAAUGGUAUUGAAAUGUGUUAGUAGUUUGGCUGUGUGCCCAAAACUCUGUUUUCGCAGCAGAAGUGGAGAACUGUAUGUGAAGAAAGUAUAACCAUUAUUUCUUUGUAUUUUAGGGGCUUUAACCAGGACAUCCUCUAGUUGGUGUUAGGAAUGUUUGCUUAAUUUCCAGACUUUUUUUUAAAAACACAUCGUGAGUUUUUUGAGGCUCCAACCUGACUGAUUAGUGCAUGGUCAGCCAUCAACUAAGGCUGAGGCAUCUCUGACCGAGGUGUUUUUGUUUGGUUUUGUUUUUUAAAAUCAUGUAUUUGCUACAAAGUAUUGUACUUGUCUCAAUGGGAAUGGUGUAAAAAACUGAAAAGGCCUUAUGUGAUAUGUAUCAUAGUUAAUAAAUCAAUCUUGUAAAAAACCAAACCUGAGAGAGAUGAGGGUGGCCCUCCUCCCUGGGCCCUGAGCACACCCCCAGUGGGCAGCCAGCAGGGUGGGCUCCGGCCCCACGGGAACCCUGGCCCAUCCUCAGACCAUCAGGCAGGAGGGGCGAGGCAGGUCUCUGGCCAGGGGGUGAGGGUCCCAGAGCCCCACAUCCACCCCACCUAGGGGGAGGCAGUCUCCCAUGAGGAGCUGCUGGCACCCUCCACCUGCACUCUCAGGGCUGCUGCCAGGAGCCCCUUCUCUGCUCUCUCGGAGCUGCCCUGCUUCCCCUGCAGCUGCAGUUCUUUCAGGUCCUUAGCCGUCGCACCGCCCACAGACCCCUGUGGCCAGAGGGGCCCAGCAAGCCAGGGCAAGCCCAGAGCUGGCAGUCCCUGCCCUCCCUCUGUGCUGUGGUCUGGGUGGAGGCCGCAGCAGCGGUGCUGGGCUCAGAUGCCCGGGUUUGUCCCUGUUGACCCAGGACUGUUGGCCUCUCAGGAUAGCACCUCUGGGGUGCAGGUUGGCUGCCCUUGAGAGACACCUCUGCCACCCAGGCUUGGUCUACUCUAUCCCUAUUCUCUCCUCACCCUCUUCUCUCUUCAAGUCUCCUUAGGUCGCCCUCCAAGUGCCACCUGCAGCCAUGACCUCUCUGUUCCCACAGCCUCCCUUCUGGCCCAGGUCCUGGUUCUAGUCCACCUGGACUCUGAUGGACACGCCCGUACCUUAAGUGGCCUCCCUGCCCUGUCUUCAUCCACCGAAGCUAUUCCAGAAGGCAGAGCUGGCAGGAGUGGGGACGACUCACCCAACGAGCUGCCUCUCGCCCCUCCUGUGCCCCCGGCGGAUGCCGUCCUUGAUCACAACGCAACCUUCCCACGCCUCAGGCUCUGCACGCGGCUGCCCCACGGGUGCCUCCGGCGGCCCCACCCCUCCAGUCAGGCUCCGCUUCCGCCUAAAUCUUUCUCAUUCUCCGAAGGCGCUUGCUUGCUUCUAGCUUCCCAGCUUUCGCUUCUGCUGUUCCCUCGGCCUGGAAUCCUUCCAAGGCACAUGCCCCCAAACCUCACCUCUGUCCAUCAGAUCCAGGCCUUCAAAGCCAGUCUUCCUCCAUGAAGUCGUCCCAGACUCACACACGGAUUCACUCAACAUCUGUUGGCCUGCUCUUUUGUCCUUUUUUUUUUCCUGGCCUUUUUAGGGCCGCACACGUGGCAUAGGGAGGUUCCAGGCUACAGGUCAAAUCAGAAGCAUAGCCACUGGCCCACGCCACAGCCGCAGCCAUGCCAGAUCCAAGCCGUGUCUGCGACCUACACCACAGCUAGUCAGAUUCAUUUCCGCUGAGCCACGACGGGAACUCCAG